AUGAAAUUACCUUUGAAAAGUUUGGGAUGUAGAUAGAUGUAAUUUAAUUUCUGGUCCCAGGUAAGAUGAGUAAAAAUUCAUUACUUACAUAAGCAGAGUUCAGUACUGAACCUCUAGCUCAUAUUUGUAUAAUUUCAUUGCAGUUGCUUUUCUUUUGUUUUCUUUCAGCUUUGGAUCUUCAGUUUAAGCAGUGAUCAUAGUUACCGUUGUGUGGCACAUACGGACUUAAAGAAAGAGCAAGAGAAAUUCUAUAAUAAAAUCUGGAAAUCUGAAGAAGAAUUAGGUGAAAGGCAAAAUGCUUCUGAGCUUUGCAAAACAAACAGCAUGAAACCAGAGGGGUCAGUGGAAGCAUCAUUGCCUUUUCUCCUAAUUGAACACUGUGACUAUUCAGUAUGUUUCCACAAUGAAGAAAAUAUGUGAGUCCUUUAAAAUAUCACCAGGUUCUUAGGUUAUUUUCACAGCAUCAAUUUUAAUUGAAACUUUUUCCUUUAAACUACAGAUUUUAAAAAUGCAUUUGAAAUCUUCUAUGGGAUGGCUUAUUAUUUUUGUCAUAUUGGAAUCAAGUUAGCUAGUAUUACUGUGUCUUGUAUAGUUAAAAAAAAAAAAAAGCUUUUUAUCAUACUCAGGUAUGUUUUCUUUUUCUUUUUUCUAAAAUAAUGUAUCAAAGUGCAAGACCAGUUUUGAAGGGUAGGUAAUAUAGCAACUGCUUUAGAGGAGGAAAAAAUUUAAAUGAAUUCUAUCGUGAAUAUGUUUUGUAACUGCUUCUCUUAUAACUUUAGUUAGGAGUAUCUAUGGAACUAAAACACACUGUAAAUUUGCUGUAAAAUGAUUGUAGCAAGUGAUUCAGAUCUUCAUCUGCAAUUCUAAUAAGAAAAAUAGCUGAAUGUGACACAGUGAGUUUUCAUGAUUUCAUAUCAUAUGCCUCAUUUACUUCUAACGUUGUGUUGUCUUGAGCCUGAUCAAGUUUAGUGUAAUGGAGUUAAAUAGAAUAUACAUGAAAAGGUUGCCCAGAGAGGCUACUGAGAUACGGAGAUAUUCAAGACCUGUCUGGAUGCCUACCUAUGCAAUCUAUUGUAGGGCACCUGCGUUAGCAGGGGAAUUGGACUCAAUCUUUUGAGGUCUCUUCCAACCCCUGCAAUUCUGUGAUGGUUGAUUUGAUCAGUGAAUUCAUAGUCAUUGUGGACACAAGAGCUAAUGUUUUUAAGAAGCUGGCAUUUUUUUGUUAAUUGAUGUGGUGUGUUACAUGGGAAUAUUACACACAUUUUUUUCUCUUUCUACUAUAUAAAAUCAUUCUUCUAUGUGUUGCAAACAUGAAAAUAAAGGAUGAAUGCUA